UGGGGAAUAUUGCACAAUGGGCGCAAGCCUGAUGCAGCGACGCCGCGUGGGGGAUGACGGCCUUCGGGUUGUAAACUCCUUUCGCCAGGGACGAAGCGUUUUGUGACGGUACCUGGAGAAGAAGCACCGGCUAACUACGUGCCAGCAGCCGCGGUAAUACGUAGGGUGCAAGCGUUGUCCGGAAUUACUGGGCGUAAAGAGCUCGUAGGUGGUUUGUCACGUCGUCUGUGAAAUUCCACAGCUUAACUGUGGGCGUGCAGGCGAUACGGGCUGACUUGAGUACUGUAGGGGUAACUGGAAUUCCUGGUGUAGCGGUGAAAUGCGCAGAUAUCAGGAGGAACACCGAUGGCGAAGGCAGGUUACUGGGCAGUUACUGACGCUGAGGAGCGAAAGCAUGGGUAGCAAACAGGAUUAGAUACCCUGGUAGUCCAUGCCGUAAACGGUGGGCGCUAGGUGUAGGGGCCUUUUGGGGUUUCUGUGCCGUAGCUAACGCAUUAAGCGCCCCGCCUGGGGAGUACGGCCGCAAGGCU
rnacentral:rRNA from 1 species